UACGAAGGGGGCUAGCGUUGCUCGGAAUCACUGGGCGUAAAGCGCACGUAGGCGGCUACUUAUAGUCAGGGGUGAAAUCCUGGAGCUCAACUCCAGAACUGCCUUUGAUACUGGAGAUCUUGAGUUCGGGAGAGGUGAGUGGAACUGCGAGUGUAGAGGUGAAAUUCGUAGAUAUUCGCAAGAACACCAGUGGCGAAGGCGGCUCACUGGCC
rnacentral:rRNA from 1 species